UAAGCGUCCCCUUUGGACUCUCCUGCGCGAUCGGCGGCGCUCUUGGGCCGGCGUCCGAGACAAAGGCGGCCUCGGCGGGCCCUGGAGGCCGCUCAGCCUCUUCCUCCCCGCUGCCCAUGGCUUCUUCCAGCCGCCCAGCCAGCCGGCUCUCCUCUCCCGUCCUCUGGGCGGCCGCCAUCGGGGCGCAGGCUCUGCCUUCCUUUUGUGAGAUCCUCUGCACCGGCCACCAAGAAUGUUCCGAACAAGGCACCAGCUGGACAAGCCUGUGGUACGUUUGGUAAGCUGCAUU